rnacentral:lncRNA from 1 species
AUGUCUACAUCCAAAAGUUCCUCAGCCUCAAACGCCUCUGUUAACAAUUCAUUGAACUCUCCGAUUCCCAUCUUCGCCAUUCGAUUCCUCACCGCAACUCUCCGAUUCAACAUUCACAACAUCAUUAGCUCCACCUCCUUUACUAACUUCGUCUUCAACAUCGUUUGGUCGAGUAACACGAACCUCAAUACCCGAUCGAGUCCGCACCAUGCUUGCAAUUAGGGUUUAAAUGAGUUAAUUUGGGGUUAAUUUGGGUGAGAGUGAAAUGAUAUGAACUGGGGAGAUCGGGGGUUUUAUUCCUUCGGUCGGGUUAUCAAUUGGGUGGGUUUAUUGCUUGGGUCGGGUCAGUAGUUGGGUGGUUUUAAUAAUGG